rnacentral:rRNA from 1 species
AAAUUGAAGAGUUUGAUCAUGGCUCAGAUUGAACGCUGGCGGCAGGCCUAACACAUGCAAGUCGAACGGUAACAGGAAGCAGCUUGCUGCUUUGCUGACGAGUGGCGGACGGGUGAGUAAUGUCUGGGAAACUGCCUGAUGGAGGGGGAUAACUACUGGAAACGGUAGCUAAUACCGCAUAACGUCGCAAGACCAAAGAGGGGGACCUUCGGGCCUCUUGCCAUCGGAUGUGCCCAGAUGGGAUUAGCUAGUAGGUGGGGUAAAGGCUCACCUAGGCGACGAUCCCUAGCUGGUCUGAGAGGAUGACCAGCCACACUGGAACUGAGACACGGUCCAGACUCCUACGGGAGGCAGCAGUGGGGAAUAUUGCACAAUGGGCGCAAGCCUGAUGCAGCCAUGCCGCGUGUAUGAAGAAGGCCUUCGGGUUGUAAAGUACUUUCAGCGGGGAGGAAGGGAGUAAAGUUAAUACCUUUGCUCAUUGACGUUACCCGCAGAAGAAGCACCGGCUAACUCCGUGCCAGCAGCCGCGGUAAUACGGAGGGUGCAAGCGUUAAUCGGAAUUACUGGGCGUAAAGCGCACGCAGGCGGUUUGUUAAGUCAGAUGUGAAAUCCCCGGGCUCAACCUGGGAACUGCAUCUGAUACUGGCAAGCUUGAGUCUCGUAGAGGGGGUAGAAUUCCAGGUGUAGCGGUGAAAUGCGUAGAGAUCUGGAGGAAUACCGGUGGCGAAGGCGGCCCCCUGGACGAAGACUGACGCUCAGGUGCGAAAGCGUGGGGAGCAAACAGGAUUAGAUACCCUGGUAGUCCACGCCGUAAACGAUGUCGACUUGGAGGUUGUGCCCUUGAGGCGUGGCUUCCGGAGCUAACGCGUUAAGUCGACCGCCUGGGGAGUACGGCCGCAAGGUUAAAACUCAAAUGAAUUGACGGGGGCCCGCACAAGCGGUGGAGCAUGUGGUUUAAUUCGAUGCAACGCGAAGAACCUUACCUGGUCUUGACAUCCACGGAAGUUUUCAGAGAUGAGAAUGUGCCUUCGGGAACCGUGAGACAGGUGCUGCAUGGCUGUCGUCAGCUCGUGUUGUGAAAUGUUGGGUUAAGUCCCGCAACGAGCGCAACCCUUAUCCUUUGUUGCCAGCGGUCCGGCCGGGAACUCAAAGGAGACUGCCAGUGAUAAACUGGAGGAAGGUGGGGAUGACGUCAAGUCAUCAUGGCCCUUACGACCAGGGCUACACACGUGCUACAAUGGCGCAUACAAAGAGAAGCGACCUCGCGAGAGCAAGCGGACCUCAUAAAGUGCGUCGUAGUCCGGAUUGGAGUCUGCAACUCGACUCCAUGAAGUCGGAAUCGCUAGUAAUCGUGGAUCAGAAUGCCACGGUGAAUACGUUCCCGGGCCUUGUACACACCGCCCGUCACACCAUGGGAGUGGGUUGCAAAAGAAGUAGGUAGCUUAACCUUCGGGAGGGCGCUUACCACUUUGUGAUUCAUGACUGGGGUGAAGUCGUAACAAGGUAACCGUAGGGGAACCUGCGGUUGGAUCACCUCCUUA